GGUGAGAGGUGGCAGGGGAUGGUUUGGGUAGACAGCUAGAAAGGAUGUAAAGUUGAAGUAUGGUUAGUGUCUGAAGCCAGCAACAGAUAUGCUAAUUAGACAGCUAAGUGGGUUACUUUUCACACAGUUAAUAAUCAACUGGUUUGGGCCAUAGGUCCGGAAUUCCAAAAAUGAGGACUGGAUUAGCUUCCUCAGGGACAGGGGGCACGGACUCAGGAAGGUCCAGGUCUCAGCUUCAGUGUGGAGAGCGCUGGUUCAAGGUGGGGGCAAGAGCAGGUCGGCUGAGGCAAACAAAUGAGAGCCAUCCCUUGUCAUGAAGAAUGAAAAAGAGAAAAAUAACUCCAUUCUUAUAGUCAGAAAAGGUUGGAAACACAUGCCAAGCUUUGCCAGUGUAGAAGCUGCCACAGGACAACAUUCACUAAGUCUACUUCAUGGACUAAUGUCUCUAGAAACUGACCUGAAACUGCUAUGAUUCGAAAUUGCAACAUCUCACUCUGGCUAUUAAAAAAAUCAGGUCUCCAGAGGAAGGUGUGUAUCCAGUACCCCUGUAAUUUGCGUGCCAACAUUUCCAUCUGGCACAUUUCUGAACACUGCAGAAAUUAACUGUGCCAAGCCAAACAUUAUCAAAAGUGUCCGGCAUCAAGAGUAAACAUCUUCCCACCGUGAUUCUGCGCCAUCAAACACUCUUCAGCUAAUUUCAUCUUGUGCAUUACUUUGGGAGCACACCGAGGCCAAGUGAAACUGCGGAAAUGGGAACAAUGCACAGAGGAAAAAUCUUACACCAUUAAGGGAUCCGUUUCUUCUUCACACAAAUAAUAGCCCAGCCACGCCUUGCUUUACAGGCAAGACUAGAUGGCUCCAGGAAAUUCUCAGCAAAGAGAAUGUCCUGUCUGUCCUCUCAAACCUAGGUAUCCCUCCCACAAGAAAGUUUGCCCUCACCUACAGUAAGGCCAAGAGUACGGGCUACCUAGAGUGGAACAUCAAUAGCCCAGGGAAAUUGGGAUGCACUCAUUAGCCCAGCACAGUCUCAGGGCACGGCUGCUAGGGUUAAGCGCCCGGAAUCGGGAGCCCCUGACUUGAACACCGGUUAAAAGGUAGC